rnacentral:rRNA from 2 species
GAAUCCCGUAUAUGGCAUGGACUCCCGUUGCUCUGUGAUACACUCUCGACGAGUCGAGUUGUUUGGGAAUGCAGCUCUAAAUGGGUGGUAAAUGCCAUCUAAAGCUAAAUAUUGGCGAGAGACCGAUAGCGAACAAGUACCGUGAGGGAAAGAUGAAAAGCACUUUGGAAAGAGAGUGAAACAGUACGUGAAAUUGUUGAAAGGGAAACGCUUGAAGUCAGUCGCGCCGUUCGGGAUUCAGCCUUGCUUCUGCUCGGUUUACUUCCCGUUGGGUGGGUCAACAUCAGUUUCGGUCGGAGGAGAAAGACUUGGGGAAGGUAGCAGCAUUCGUGCUGUGUUAUAGCCCCUUGUUGUAUACUUCGGUUGGGACUGAGGACCGCAGCACGCCUUUGGCCGGGGUUCGCCCACGUACGUGCUUAGGAUGUUGGCAUAAUGGCUUUAAGCGACCCGUCUUGAAACACGGACCAAGGAGUCUAACAUGUGCGCGAGUGUUUGGGUGUUAAACUCGGACGCGAAAUGAAAGUGAAAGGUUGGGAACACUUAUGUGUGCACCAACGCCCGGAGCUGACCUUCUGUGACGCAUCUGCGGUAGAGCGUAUAUGUUGGGACCCGAAAGAUGGUGAACUAUGCCUGAAUAGGGUGAAGCCAGAGGAAACUCUGGUGGAGGCUCGUAGCGAUUCUGACGUGCAAAUCGAUCGUCAAAUUUGGGUAUAGGGGCGAAAGACUAAUCGAACCAUCUAGUAGCUGGUUCCUGCC